rnacentral:rRNA from 1 species
UCCUACGGGAGGCAGCAGUGAGGAAUAUUGGUCAAUGGGCGCAGGCCUGAACCAGCCAAGUCGCGUGAGGGAAGACGGUCCUACGGAUUGUAAACCUCUUUUGCCGGGGAGCAAAGGGGCCAUUGAUGGCAGGAUGAGCGUACCCGGAGAAAAAGCAUCGGCUAACUCCGUGCCAGCAGCCGCGGUAAUACGGAGGAUGCGAG